rnacentral:tRNA from 2 species
GGCGGCGUAGCUCAGUCGGUUAGAGCGGCGGCUUCAUAAGCCGUAGGUCGUUGGUUCAAGUCCAACCGUCGCUACCA